rnacentral:lncRNA from 7 species
ACUGUCCCCAGGCUGCUCCUGCCUCAUGGCACCAAUGGCACUGAACCUCAUUCUCGCGAGCAGGGCACAGCAAGGUGCUGCAGGCAGUUCUCAUGGGAACCUGGUGGUGGCAGUGG